rnacentral:tRNA from 1 species
GCCUCGGUGGUCGAACUGGCUAAGACGCCCCGCACGGAAUGUAGGGAGGUCCAGGUUCAAAUCCUGGCUGAGGUA